AUUCCGUUGAAGGAGAUAGUUUUUGACAUUGUGGAGUUGGUCAAGAGUUUUUUUAAACCUCAUUUAUAAAGGGAAUUUUUCGAGUUUUGAUAUCGUUAUUGAGUGUAGAUUCGACUCUAAAAACCGUUAUUACGGAUUAGAAAAAGGGACUCCAAACAGACGAAGGAAUACUCAAUUUGGAAAACAUGCGAGAAAGUAGAAGGGUUCCCCAGGAAGUUACCAGGAGCUUAAUAGUCGAGAGGUCGUUAUUUUUCCCCUCGCUGAUUAUUGCUAUUGCCAGAAGCGUUAACAGUUUAAAUGAAAAAAAAAAAGGUUUUGACCACAGAAACUAAGCAACAUCCUGCUGAGAGAACGUGCCAAAAGUGGUUUGCAUGAUUUAAAAGUAGUGAUUUUGGCUUGGAAGACGAUGAAUGUCUUGGGCAGCCAAAAAAGUUUGAAGAUGAAGAAAUGGAAGCAUUACUCAAUGAAUAUUGUUGUCUAACACAAGAAAAACUCACAGAAUAGUUGGGUUUCACUCAAGCAGCCUUUUCAAAACAUUUAAAAGCAGCUGGAUAUAUUCAAAAGCAAGGAAAUUGGGUUCCAAAUGAACUUAAGUUGAGAGACGUCGAGAGGCGGUUUUGCAUGUUCAAAAUGCUGCUGGAACGCCACAGAAGGAAGUCAUUUUUGCAUCAAAUUGUUACUGGGGAUGAAAAAUGGAUCCAUUACGACAACCUCAAGCACAAAAUAUCAUAUGUGAAAUCCGGCCAACCAGCCAAUUCAACAGCCGACUAACCAUGGCACGAAGGUAAUGCAAGUGCAAAAACCAGACACUAGGCAAUAAUUUCCCAUCAUGACAACGUUGCUAUUCCGGUUACAAACUAUUUGGAAAACAGUGGAUGGAAGUUUUACCUCACCCGCCUUAUAGCCCAGACCUUGCAUCUUCUGACUACCAUUUGUUCCAGUCGAUGCAGAACGCUCUCACUGGAAAAUGGUUCACAUCAGAGCACAAUAUCAAAAAUUGGCUUGAUUGAUUCUUGGCUGCCAAGUCGGUGCAGUUCUUUUAGGAUGGGACCCACAAAUUGCCAGAAAGAUGGGAAAAGAUCAUAGUUUCAGAUAAGCAAUACUUUGACUAAUACUAUUGUACAUGUUUUUCUUAAAUAAACGUUCGAAACGUACGAAAUAAGUUAUAGACCACAAUACGUUCAUAAAUAUGAUUUCAGAGGUAGAAAUAAUCGAAUGUUAGGUUAUAGCUGUUUAUAAUUGUAACAUUUUCAUAAACAUUCACUACUUCUAUUAUAAAUAAAUAUUACCAAUAUGAAAGAUCA